rnacentral:rRNA from 1 species
UGUAUAAUGGGUCAGCGACUUAUAUUCUGUAGCAAGGUUAACCGAAUAGGGGAGCCGAAGGGAAACCGAGUCUUAACUGGGCGUUAAGUUGCAGGGUAUAGACCCGAAACCCGGUGAUCUAGCCAUGGGCAGGUUGAAGGUUGGGUAACACUAACUGGAGGACCGAACCGACUAAUGUUGAAAAAUUAGCGGAUGACUUGUGGCUGGGGGUGAAAGGCCAAUCAAACCGGGAGAUAGCUGGUUCUCCCCGAAAGCUAUUUAGGUAGCGCCUCGUGAAUUCAUCUCCGGGGGUAGAGCACUGUUUCGGCAAGGGGGUCAUCCCGACUUACCAACCCGAUGCAAACUGCGAAUACCGGAGAAUGUUAUCACGGGAGACACACGGCGGGUGCUAACGUCCGUCGUGAAGAGGGAAACAACCCAGACCGCCAGCUAAGGUCCCAAAGUCAUGGUUAAGUGGGAAACGAUGUGGGAAGGCCCAGACAGCCAGGAUGUUGGCUUAGAAGCAGCCAUCAUUUAAAGAAAGCGUAAUAGCUCACUGGUCGAGUCGGCCUGCGCGGAAGAUGUAACGGGGCUAAACCAUGCACCGAAGCUGCGGCAGCGACGCUUAUGCGUUGUUGGGUAGGGGAGCGUUCUGUAAGCCUGCGAAGGUGUGCUGUGAGGCAUGCUGGAGGUAUCAGAAGUGCGAAUGCUGACAUAAGUAACGAUAAAGCGGGUGAAAAGCCCGCUCGCCGGAAGACCAAGGGUUCCUGUCCAACGUUAAUCGGGGCAGGGUGAGUCGACCCCUAAGGCGAGGCCGAAAGGCGUAGUCGAUGGGAAACAGGUUAAUAUUCCUGUACUUGGUGUUACUGCGAAGGGGGGACGGAGAAGGCUAUGUUGGCCGGGCGACGGUUGUCCCGGUUUAAGCGUGUAGGCUGGUUUUCCAGGCAAAUCCGGAAAAUCAAGGCUGAGGCGUGAUGACGAGGCACUACGGUGCUGAAGCAACAAAUGCCCUGCUUCCAGGAAAAGCCUC